UUGAGUUUGAUCAUGGCUCAGGACGAACGCUGGCGGCGUGCCUAAUACAUGCAAGUCGAGCGAAUCUUUAGGAGCUUGCUCCUGAAGAUUAGCGGCGGACGGGUGAGUAACACGUGGGCAACCUGCCUGUAAGACUGGGAUAACACCGGGAAACCGGUGCUAAUACCGGAUAAUCCUUUUCCUCACAUGGGGGAAAGCUGAAAGACGGUUUCGGCUGUCACUUACAGAUGGGCCCGCGGCGCAUUAGCUAGUUGGUGAGGUAACGGCUCACCAAGGCGACGAUGCGUAGCCGACCUGAGAGGGUGAUCGGCCACACUGGGACUGAGACACGGCCCAGACUCCUACGGGAGGCAGCAGUAGGGAAUCUUCCGCAAUGGACGAAAGUCUGACGGAGCAACGCCGCGUGAGCGAUGAAGGCCUUCGGGUCGUAAAGCUCUGUUGUUAGGGAAGAACAAGUAUCGGAGUAACUGCCGGUACCUUGACGGUACCUAACCAGAAAGCCACGGCUAACUACGUGCCAGCAGCCGCGGUAAUACGUAGGUGGCAAGCGUUGUCCGGAAUUAUUGGGCGUAAGGCGCGCGCAGGCGGUCCUUUAAGUCUGAUGUGAAAGCCCACGGCUCAACCGUGGAGGGUCAUUGGAAACUGGGGGACUUGAGUGCAGAAGAGGAAAGUGGAAUUCCACGUGUAGCGGUGAAAUGCGUAGAGAUGUGGAGGAACACCGGUGGCGAAGGCGACUUUCUGGUCUGUAGCUGACG
rnacentral:rRNA from 1 species